UUCCUCCGUAAUAAUGAUGAAAAAGUUUCAGAAGUAACAUCUUGUGCGUUAGAAAUUGGUAUAUUUGGUCACACUAUAAUAGAUGAAAGCAUGCAUCAACGAGGAAUUCAAAGGUUUGGUGUCUGUUCAAGAUGGUUUCGAAUAAAGCGGUUGCUUUAUAUUAUGGUUGAUACUCCAACAGUAAGAAGAAAAACGACUCAAUUAGAAAAAGCUUAUUCAAAAUACUCGCUUCAUCCAGAUACGUUUCUUGAUGCCAAGGAACUGUACCAGUAUAUUCUGUCCAGGAUUACAGAUAUU